rnacentral:rRNA from 1 species
UACGGGGGGGGCAAGCGUUGUUCGGAAUUACUGGGCGUAAAGGGCCAGUAGGCGGCCAACUAAGUCGGAUGUGAAAUCCCCAGGCUCAACUUGGGAACUGCAUCCGAUACUGGAUGGCUUGAAUUCGGGAGAGGGAUGCAGAAUUCCAGGUGUAGCGGUGAAAUGCGUAGAUAUGUGGAGGAAUACCGGUGGCGAAGGCGGCCUCCUGGCUUAAUACUGACGCUGAGGUGCGAAAGCGUGGGGAGCAAACAGG